GUGAAUCAUCAAAUUUUUGAACGCAAAUUGCACUUUCUGUAUUCCGGAAAGUAUUCCUUUUUGAGGGUCAGUUAAAUUUAAAUCGGUGUUGUUGCUUCCCGUAGUUGUGUGUUAUGCCUCGGAAUUUAGUCGUUCUUUACCUUUGGUUUAAGUUACUUAAAAUUAUGUUUGAUUUUUUAACGUAUUUAAAUUAUUACUUACGUUCGUAAUAUCACCUAUUAGGUUCGGUCAUUCACAUUAUUUCGCGUCUAUAAUUUUUCAUUAUUUGACCUCAAAUUAGGUAAGAAUACCCGCUGAACUU
rnacentral:misc_RNA from 1 species